UACAGAGGUCCCAAGCGUUGUUCGGAUUCACUGGGCGUAAAGGGUGCGUAGGCGGUCGGGUAAGUCUGACGUGAAAUCUUCAAGCUCAACUUGGAAACUGCGUCGGAUACUAUUCGGCUGGAGGAAUGGAGGGGAGACUGGAAUACUUGGUGUAGCAGUGAAAUGCGUAGAGAUCGGAAGGAACAUCUGUGGCGAAGGCGACUAUCUGGGCCAACACUGACACUGAGGCACGAAAGCGUGGGGAGCAAACAGG
rnacentral:rRNA from 1 species